rnacentral:rRNA from 1 species
AGAGUACGAUUAUGGCUCAGGACGAACGCUGGCGGCGUGCCUAACACAUGCAAGUCGAACGAAGCUUGAUUACGGAUUCUUCGGAUGAAGUAUGAUAUGACUGAGUGGCGGACGGGUGAGUAACGCGUGAGCAACCUGCCUUUCAGAGGGGGAUAGCGUCUGGAAACGGACGGUAAUACCGCAUAACGUAUGAUGAAGACAUCUUCGACAUACCAAAGAUUUAUCGCUGAAAGAUGGGCUCGCGUUGGAUUAGAUAGUUGGUGGGGUAACGGCUCACCAAGUCGACGAUCCAUAGCCGGACUGAGAGGUUGAACGGCCACAUUGGGACUGAGACACGGCCCAG